AAUUUCACACCUGGAUGUGCUCACUCAACCACGAAUAUAGAGAAAGAGCUUCUGCCCUGAGACUCAGAAAAAUAUUCUCCACUGCUUCUGUUCAGUAUAGAUUUCUAGACCCCGAUCCUUGCGUACUAACCAUCACUAAACAGUG
rfam:Eurypyga helias contig37751, whole genome shotgun sequence.